UCCCUGAAGGACUUAGUGGGUAGGCCUUGGUGCUCUCACUGCCACGGCCCAGGUUCGAUUCCCGGCGGGGGAA